rnacentral:rRNA from 1 species
CCUACGGGAGGCAGCAGUGAGGAAUAUUGGUCAAUGGACGGAAGUCUGAACCAGCCAUGCCGCGUGCAGGAAGACGGCUCUAUGAGUUGUAAACUGCUUUUGUACAAGGGUAAACCUGAAUACGUGUAUUCAGCUGAAAGUACUGUACGAAUAAGGAUCGGCUAACUCCGUGCCAGGAGCCGCGGUAAUACGGAGGAUACAAGCGUUAUCCGGAUUUAUUGGGUUUAAAGGGUGCGUAGGCGGAUUGAUAAGUGAGCGGGGAAAUGUCCGAGCUUAACUCGGGAACUGACUCUAUUACUGUUGAUCUAGAGAGUAGAUGCGGUAGGCGGAUUGUAUGGUGUAGCGGUGAAAUGCUUAGAGAUCAUACAGAACACCGAUUGCGAAGGCAGCUUACCAAUCUAUAUCUGACGUUGAGGCACGAAAGCGUGGGGAGCAAACAGGAUUAGAUACCCUGGUAGUC